rnacentral:tRNA from 1 species
GGGCGUGUGGUCUAGUGGUAUGAUUCUCGCUUUGGGCGACAAUCUAGGAAACUAGAUUAUUAACUACAAGCAUGCGAGAGGCCCUGGGUUCAAUUCCCAGCUCGCCCC